CAAGAAACUAAAUAUAAAGACACUCAUCGUAUGAAUUCUGUACCAUAGAUCUCAUGAACACUCCCCUCAACUCUAAGAUCUCACAAUAGCAACUUGCAAUUCUGAUGGGAUUUAGAAGGAAAAGGAAAAAACUGAAAGAAUUCUCUGGUGAUAUGAAGUUCUGGAAUCAUGAUGUUUUUCUCAGUUUUAAGGACAAGAUACACUCGGGAUGUGAAAACCGGCAAAAUUACAGCGUGGGAAUUAAGUGCUUCCCUAUACUCAGAAGCCGAAUUUGCAUAUGGGUCUGGGCACAUUGAUCCUUUAAAGGCCACAACUCCGGGACUUGUCUAUGAAACUUCUUUUCAAGAGUAUCUUAAGAUAUGGUGCAACAUAUCUCGAUCAAAGUGGAAUAUAUCAUUAGAUAUUACUAACAAAGUGGAUUAUAUCAUUAGAUAUGAAGUUUUCUUUAUAAGCCGUGUAAAAAAAAAUUAAAAAAAAUAGAGUGUAUAAAAGAUUUAUACAAAUAUGAACGGAUUUGUAUGACUUUCAAUCCGUUUCACCCCAUUCGACUCA